UACGGAGGGUGCAAGCGUUGUCCGGAUUUAUUGGGUUUAAAGGGUGCGUAGGCGGCUCUUUAAGUCAGUGGUGAAAUACUGCAGCUCAACUGUAGCAUUGCCAUUGAUACUGAAGAGCUUGAGUACAGAUGAGGUAGGCGGAAUUUAUGGUGUAGCGGUGAAAUGCAUAGAUACCAUAAAGAACACCUAUUGCGAAGGCAGCUUACUAAGCUGUAACUGACGCUGAGGCACGGAAAAGCGUGGGGGAGCGAACAGG
rnacentral:rRNA from 1 species